rnacentral:rRNA from 1 species
CACGUAGGGACCAAGCGGUGUCCGGAUUUAUUGGGCGUAAAGAGCUCGUAGGCGGUUCGGUAAGUCGGGUGUGAAAACUCUGGGCUCAACUCGGAGAGGCCACCCGAUACUGCCGUGACUCGAGUCCGGUAGGGGAGCACGGAAUUCCUGGUGUAGCGGUGAAAUGCGCAGAUAUCAGGAGGAACACCGGUGGCGAAGGCGGUGCUCUGGGCCGGUACUGACGCUGAGGAGCGAAAGCGUGGGUAGCAAACAGG